rnacentral:lncRNA from 1 species
GGUCAUCCACAUGCUCAAUCAUGGGAUGAUGCACUGAGCAAGGCGAGGUUUGAGUUCCGGUGGAUGGAUCAAUUUGCUUUGUCAUUGGACCCUAUGACUGCCAUGUCAUUUCAUGAUGAAACCUUGCCAUCAGAAGGUGCCAAGGUGGCUCACUUCUGUUCCAUGUGUGGACCCAAGUUCUGCUCCAUGAAGAUAACCGAGGAUGUGCGUAAGUAUGCUGAAGAACACGGGUACGGGAGUGCAGAGGAAGCUCUGCAGGAAGGGAUGGAUGCUAUGAGUGCUGAGUUCUUGGCUGCAAAGAAAACCAUUAGUGGUG